UGCCCAGCAACUCCUAUCCCUACCUCCUUGUGGUACUGGCCGGGGUACGAGUAACCUUGGGGAAGAUCGGGUAGCCAACCCCCGGUGGGAACUUUGGUCGUAUGCUGACAGGGAAGG
rnacentral:ribozyme from 1 species